UUAGGAAUCUUGCGCAAUGGGCGAAAGCCUGACGCAGCAACGCCACGUGCGGGAUGACGGCCUUCGGGUUGUAAACCGCUUUCAGUGGGGACGAAACCAGACGGUACCUACAGAAGAAGCCCCGGCCAACUACGUGCCAGCAGCCGCGGUAAUACGUAGGGGGCAAGCGUUGUCCGGAAUCAUUGGGCGUAAAGAGCUCGUAGGCGGCUCAGUAAGUCGGGUGUAAAAGCUCCAGGCUCAACCUGGAGACGCCACCCGAUACUGCUGUGGCUAGAGUCCAGUAGAGGAGUGUGGAACUCCCAGUGUAGCGGUGAAAUGCGCAGAUAUUGGGAAGAACACCAGCGGCGAAGGCCGCACUCUGGGCUGGUACUGACGCUGAGGAGCGAAAGCGUGGGUAGCAAACAGGAUUAGAUACCCCUGUAGUCC
rnacentral:rRNA from 1 species